CCUACGGGAGGCAGCAGUGGGGAAUCUUGCACAAUGGAGGAAACUCUGAUGCAGCGAUGCCGCGUGAGUGAAGAAGGCCUUUGGGUUGUAAAGCCCUUUUGUAGGGGAAGAUAAUGACUGUACCCUAAGAAUAAGGUCCGGCUAACUUCGUGCCAGCAGCCGCGGUAAUACGAAGGGACCUAGCGUAGUUCGGAAUUACUGGGCGUAAAGCGCGCGUAGGCCGUUGAGUUAGUUAAUUGUGAAAUCCCAAAGCUUAACUUUGGAACUGCAAUUAAAACUGCUCGACUAGAGUUUGAUAGAGGAAAGCGGAAUACAUAGUGUAGAGGUGAAAUUCGUAGAUAUUAUGUAGAACACCAGUUGCGAAGGCGGCUUUCUGGAUCAACACUGACGCUGAGGCGCGAAAGUAUGGGUAGCAAAGAGGAUUAGAUACCCUCGUAAUCCAUACCAUAAACGAUGAUUGCUAGAUGUUGGAAAUUUAUUUUCAGUAUCGCAGCUAACGCAUUAAGCAAUCCGCCUGGGGAGUACGACCGCAAGGUUAAAACUCAAAUGAAUUGACGGCNGAGAGUGCGACGACGACACGAGGAGAG
rnacentral:rRNA from 1 species